rnacentral:rRNA from 1 species
UACGUAGGGGGCAAGCGUUGUCCGGAUUUACUGGGCGUAAAGAGCGUGUAGGCGGCCAGACAGGUCCGUUGUGAAAACUGGAGGCUCAACCUUCAGACGUCGACGGAAACCGUCUGGCUAGAGUCCGGAAGAGGAGAGUGGAAGUUCCUGGUGUAGCGGUGAAAUGCGCAGAUAUCGAGGAAGAACACCGAGUGGCGAAGGCAGCUCGCUGGGACGGUA